rnacentral:lncRNA from 1 species
UGCGAAAAAGAUAGAGAUAAUGUCACCUGCUCGUUCCUGCAAGAUUUGUACUAUCCUUUAUUUUUAUUUUUCUCAUUAAGUUUUUUGAUAUUAUUAUUAUUAUAAUAUAUAUUCAACUUGGAAGUUCUAAAACCUGUAUUUCUUUGUAAUUUUGGAAGACGAAAUGGUGUUCUUAUGAAAUCAUGAACAAGGUGCCAUUGUCGAAGAAGAAACAGGGUGCCGCCGGCUAAUCAUUCCACCGUCGAAGAAAAAACAGGUGCCGCCGUCGAAGAAGAAAAAGGGUGUCGCCGUCAAUAUCCUUUUUUUUUUCUGAUCUACUAGUGUAUGAUGGUUCUGAUUAAGUUGUUUAGUGUUUAAUUUUUGAAAGUUUUGUUUCGAUCCUUUUGAUUUUGUUUCGAUCCGGCGAUUCCCAUGAAUAUUACUCAAUACAUCAUGUUGAUUUUGAAAGAACUGUGUGUCUGUUGUUUAUGUAAAUGGGGUGCACACCUGUGUAUACGGUGUUUGUACAUUUGUUGUACACAUGUGUAAGGAAAUUGAUUGUAGGUAUAA